rnacentral:rRNA from 1 species
GCUUGCCUACGGGACGCAGCAGUGGGGAAUAUUGGGCAAUGGGCGCAAGCCUGACCCAGCAACGCCGCGUGAAGGAAGAAGGCCCUCGGGUUGUAAACUUCUUUUAUUCGGGACGAAACAAAUGACGGUACCGAAUGAAUAAGCCACGGCUAACUACGUGCCAGCAGCCGCGGUAAUACGUAGGUGGCAAGCGUUAUCCGGAUUUACUGGGUGUAAAGGGCGUGUAGGCGGGAGAGCAAGUCCGACGUGAAAUUCCAGGGCC